ensembl:snRNA U6 U6 spliceosomal RNA
GGGCUUGCUUCGGAGGCACAUGCACUAAAAUUGGAUUGAUACAGGGAAGAUUAUCAUGGCCCCUGGGCAAGGAUGACAUGCAAAUUUGUGAGCCAUUUCAUUAAAAA